CCUGCCACCUACAGACUUUGCAGGUGUAGCUGCUGUGUCAUAUGUAGGUCAGUAGGUGGCAGAGAGGAGAGCGGUUAUAUCUAUGUUCAGUAUUCUGACCUUUGAACAUCUGAAUGAUUAGUAGCUUAACAUU